GACGAACCGAGCGAACGUUGUUCGGAAUCACUGGGCUUAAAGGGCGCGUAGGCGGGUGCUCAAGUCCGGGGUGAAAUCCUCCAGCUCAACUGGAGAACUGCCUCGGAUACUGGGUGCCUCGAGGGUGGCAGGGGUAUGCGGAACUAUCGGUGGAGCGGUGAAAUGUGUUGAGAUUGGAAGGAACGCCAGUGGCGAAAGCGACCUGCUGGAUCUUUUCUGACGCUGAGGUGCGAAAGCUAGGGGAGCAAACGGG
rnacentral:rRNA from 1 species